UACGAAGGGUGCAAACGUUGCUCGGAAUUAUUGGGCGUAAAGCGCACGUAGGCGGCAUCGCAAGUCCCAUGUGAAAGCCCACGGCUUAACCGUGGAAGUGCAUGGGAAACUGCAGUGCUUGAGUACUUAAGAGGAUCGCGGAAUUCCCGGUGUAGAGGUGAAAUUCGUAGAUAUCUGGAGGAACACCGGUGGCGAAGGCGGCAUCCUGGACCGGUAUUGACGCUGAGGCGCGAAAGCCAGGGGAGCAAACGGG
rnacentral:rRNA from 1 species